ACCCCGCGCUCACCUGCCCCCGCCGGGCCGGGCCGGGCCGGGCCGGGCUCCGCCGCACGGCGAGGCCUCGGCACCGCGGAGGAGGAAGCCCCGACCCGGGGAGAGCGGCGAGAAGCGGCGCGGGGGCUGUGCCGGUCCGUGAGUGCGGUUGAGCGAGCGUGCUCUGCCCGCUCUCAGCUGCUCCCGAGAGCCGCUGUCUGCACGGCUCUUUGCGCGCCUGGAGAGAGCGGGCUGCGGGCAGCGAGACUUCGGGCACGGAAAAGGGCUGGCACAAAUACAGGGAGAAGGGGCAGCCACCACAGCACACCAGAGAAGAGGCUUGAUUCUGUUUUCCCCAUCUGCUCUUACUCAUCUCGCUCUAGCUUGGACCACUAACUCUCCAACGUAUUUCCCCUCUCACCUUUCCGCUCCGAGGGAGCUGUUUUCAGAAAGGGACAGAACCCAUCCUGGAGUGGGGAGGCCGUGAAAAACAGAGGAUGUCUUAUGGUGGAACCUUCACCUGCCUCUGCAGUGAUGGAAUCAAAUGUUCUGCACUAGACUAGCAUGGAGUAUUACCUUCUCUGACAUAUCCCUUCCCAAUGUACUUGUGCUUCCAGUAACUACCGCUUGUACAGAAAUUUCCUAGGGAAAGCAAGGAAAGCAUUGCUAACAAGAGGAGAGAAACAAAGCAUGGCCCAUCUCUAUCCCCUUCUUCUCUCCUUCCUCACCAACGGAGUGGAUAAGACAAGCACAUACAGCCAACUGCAGCUCAGGGUGAAGGAUGACAAAUGCUGAGGCAGAAGAAAGAAACCACAAAGUAUAAAGCAAGACACAGAACACAUGGAAACAAAAGAAAAAAGCACAAAAGCUAAGCACACCCCAAACCAAAAACAAAAGAAAAAACCCCCAACACAACACUAGCACUGCAGACACUCGCAGUUUUAAUACACGUUUUUUUCUUCUUCAUCGUGUCCAUGGAGAAUCUUAUUAUGAUAUUAUUGAGUAUUCGUUUUUAGGAGCCUUUAGAGUCAGCCAACUGUCCCAUAAUGGAAAUUCUGAUUAAGAGUGGUAUCUAUCAAAACACAUAGCUGUUUACAAAUAUAUAGGUAUCUUUUCAACAACAUAAAAGUUUUUAAAGUGUUAAUAACAGUAACAAAAAAAAAAUACUUUGGAGCAAAACCUAGUUUCAUCAUGGACUUUCCCCAAUCCCAAACUUUGAAAUUGCCAUGGAUUGAUACACUUUACAAGAACUUUCAUUCAAAGUCAAUCCUAUAAUUUUAAAUAUGCUUAAAUUUCCACCAGGAAUUAUCCAGAUGUGAUACAGAAAAAAAAAAUCACAGCAGAGUAUAUCAGAAACAGGAUUUAAAUAACUUUUUGAGUUGAAAAAAAAUUAGUUUAAUGCUUUGAACACAUUUAUCCUACUUUCCUACAAUUCAAUUGCCUUCAGCCUGAAAAGAAGUUAAAAAUUUCUGGUUCUAGUUAGAUACUUACCAUGAUACCACCAUUUUGUUUUCUUUGGAUUCUUGUUACAUGUUCUUACAUAAAAUGAGUUAUCUGGAGGUCGUCUCUGCAACAGAAGAAAAGACCUACAAAUAAUCAAACAAUCCUCAUAUUGUAAUACAUGAGCUAUUUAAUAAGAUUAUGAAAGAUUACCAUGUGAAUGCAGUGAAAAUGAGGUAACAAGCAGGAUUAGACCUUUUUGGUCAAGAAAAAUCUCUUACAGAUCCAGGUAACAAAUUCUUACUUGAGAUACUCCAAGAAAAUAAAAUAGUAAAAAAUAUCAUACAGUUUAGUGAUAAAUAGGGGAGAAAAAAAGAAAAAAAUAAAAAACAACAAACAAACAAAAUAAACUAACUCACAAGAAACUGCUGUUGUUCAAAAACCUCCCCAAAAUUAUAUUCCUUUGCAGUUUAAAAUCUAAUUCUGAUCCAUUACAUCCAAUUCCCAUUCUAAGGCUCAGCUUAGUGUGGGUGAAUAAAUUAAUUUAAGUAUCUGUAUCUGAUCAUUAUUACAUAUUCUUUGGUUUUCAUCGUAAGUGUCUUCAUUUACAAAAUGCAUAGGAUAAAAAAAAAACAUUUUGGGGUGGUUUUUUGACUACAUAUAUGACUAGGACUGAUUGGGAUGCAAAAUAAAUAGGUAUGCUUGGAUAGCACAUAUGGACAAGCUCUGACCACAUCUAAAUUCCACAGACAGCCCUCUGCGAAAGAAAUGGUCAAAAGUGAAAGGGCAAUCUCUUUACAAAAAGGUUUCUAAGAUAUUAGUGCCAGAAAAGCAGCUCAGCGCCAUUUACUUCCCUGAAAUGAAAAUUAUCACGUUCACUGAAAUAGUACAGAUGCAAAGUUAGAAACAUCUGCACUAAAGACAUUACACUGGUCAUUCUGCACUGCCUUUAGAGGAAGGAUAAUUUUACAAAGAAUUGUCCUAAAGCAUGACUGAACUUCGUAGUUAGUACAACUGGAAGGGUGUCAGUAAUGAUAUAUAAACAGGUUACCGUGAAAACAGUGGCAAAGUACUUAUUGCACUGUUUAUUUUGCAGUUCUAGCUUAGUAUUUUCUCAGUAGUAAAAAUGUAGAUACAGUAGUUUUGCCUAUAUCAGAAUUUGAAAAAUGAAAAGUUUACUUUGUAAAGUAGAAAAUUACUAACUUUUACUUAUUCUACUUCAACAGCGCUAAAAAAGCCCAUACCUUUUCUUUGCAGCUGGAAAGCAUGCUAAUAAUGCUAAGACAAACAGAUUGCACUGAGAGGGCUGGAGACCAGUCUUCCGUUAGAAUGGAUAAACAGAUAUGACCAUUGCUAUAAACAUGAGGAUGAACAGGGAUAUUGUCUCCAGUAAACAUGACCUAAAAAAAAGAACAAAAAUAACUAAUUUAUAGUCCCCAUUUUAAAUAAAACUAUAUUGGUUUGGGGAAACAAUAUAAUCUUAUUUAAGAAGCAGAUCUGCCAUUUUCACUAACACCAAAUAACACACUUUACCACAUUGGGCUAAUUCCAUUUUAGAAACUAUUAAGUGAAAUGUAAAAUAAUCAAUGGAAGCCUAAAUAGCUAGUGAAGGUGGAGUUAAAUAAAUGGUCAAAUAUAGGGGAUUUUAUAUUAACAUAGCAUAGAAAAAGUGUAAAGGUAACAAUGUAAAGACAAUGCAAAAUCUUGCAGCCUCAGUCUUCCACGUCCUAAGGAAUACAGCUGUCUUGCCAAAACACUGGAUUUUAAUGAUUAUAUAAGCCACAAUGUUAUACACCAAGAAGCACAACAAAAUUCACAAAUGAGUAUUUCUAUAAACCUGGACACAACAGGAAUAAAGUUCUGGACAACUCAUCCAGGUUCCAGCAUGAAGAAUAAAACUACAAUUCGUCAAUCUUAUUAACUAUAAGUAAAGGACUUGUGAAACCAAAAUAUACUGAAGUUUGCCAAAUAGGAAAUAUUUUUAAAACAUUACUUCAAAUAGAGAAGUUUUUAUUUGACAUGGAGUAUAUAAGAAAGAUGGAGUAUAUAAGAAAGGCAUUUAGAACCUCAACUCCUCUCUAUUAAAAGAUAAUAUCACAGUCAAAAAGGGCUAGAAAAGCAAUUUUGACCACUACUACUCUUACAUCAAGUUUUUUGUCAAACAUCAUUGGUUCAGGACCAACAGAAAGAGAAUAAAAGUAAAAUCUUCAUAUCAGUAUUAUACUCCUGAACUUCUUUGCCAACUCCUUUUAUGCAACAAAAAUAUAAAUCUCUACCACUCAUAACUAUAAUACCCAGCAGUUUCUUAAGUGUUUCUUAAGCUAUAUAGGUAUGCAUAAAAGUAUGAAAACAUGUACACAGACACCCACCUUCUCACUGGUGACAAGUAACACCUUCAUCAUAUAGGAAACUGAAAUUAGAGAGCUUAAUUUAUCUGCAAAAUGGCAGACAGGUUUCUAAGGCAUAAGAGAAACUGGAUACAGAAUGAUCUUUCACAGGUCUUUAAACUGGUAUUUCUUAAGCAUUGAAGGGCUUACCUUCAUAAUUCUGUAAUGUAUUUCACUUGUAACUAAUAUCCUGUUUUUACAUGACAACUUAAACUAGGCAGACUAGGUAAAUAGAAGCAUGCACUCUAUGACAACAUACAUUUAUAGGCAGAAAACAUCCAAGUGAUUAAAGCAGCACAAGUGAAAACUGUCAAUUCACAGUAACUAGAUUUGCAGGAGAGGUAAUUAUGACCAAGAAAUUGUAGUGCAGAAUGACCCUACUGCACAACAAUGUUUGCAAAAUUGAAAUUCUAGCCAUCUGAAACAAUCCAGUAUCCAGUACUUAAAUUUUAAUUGUUUUCUGUGAUAAAACUCAGUGUAGAUGUAUGGAUCUAAUUUGCUGCUUUACAAUAAAUUGCACAGAGCCAUAGACACAGGUUGGGUAAUGAAGACAAACAACCUGGAACCAAAUUAAACUGGUUACUCUCUUGUGGAUUACCUAUAAUUAGUACCUUGCAAAACUGAUGAGGUGCAGAAGUGUAAGUAGCCAGUUUAUUCUGUAAAAGACUGAAAGUCAGCAUUCUAGUGCUUAUCAUGGUACCUAAAAAUAUGUUAAUUUUUAUGGCUAAAGUGCCUCUCACAGCUCCAUGCUUCAGUUUUAACAUCAACGAGAGAAGUUGCAGAGAUAAUUUGUAGAACUAUGAGCUGAAAGAGACAGGACAAGAACUAAGACACUCUUGCUUUUCUCCUUCCUUUUUCAGAAAAGCAGGGGUGAUAGCUGACCACUACUCUUAUCAGGAAUAUUUUGAAGUGUUUCCCUCAGGUAAUGGAGGAAUGGCUGUACACAGCACAUUCUGCAGUUUGUAAGUUUUGCUGUCCCUUCAGUUCUCUAGGCUGUCUUGGAAACAACACAGUAUCACAUACCUCAGUUAUAACAUUAUUUGCAGGUCUCAAGCAUAUCAUGUAUCUAUGAGAAUCCCUAUCAGAAGCACAGUAUUUCUUCAGCUGUAUUAACAAUGGCAGCAGAGAAGAUCCAAGAGUCUUAAAAAUCAACCAGAAAAAAUAUGCUGAAAGUAAGAAGGGAUGAAGCAGCAGUUUAUUGUUUACUUGGCACCUUCAUCACAGUAAAGGGGAUCUUCCUACUUUACCCUGUAUUUCAUGACAUGAAUAUCAACAUCAAAGAAGCCUCUAGGUUACACUGCUUUCAUCUGUUCAAGCAGACAUCAGAGUCCUAUAUUUCACUGUAGAAUUAUUUGUAAAGAAAAGGCAUCUGCAUAAUGUGUUUAAUACAAAUUAAAGUUAGCAAAGCUGACAUUGGGCUAUGUGGAUAAUACAAUACUCAGCACACGUCAUACGGCUGUAACCUGAAGGUAGCAGGAAGAGAGAAAGAAGGCAGCAGUUACCUGAGGCGAAUCAAAUGGAUACCGACUACUAAACUUAAAUAAAAGCUGAAAUUUUUCCCCUUCAUAGAGUGUUCCUGGAGCACCUUCCAUGUCUACAAUCCACCUAAGGAAUAGGGGAAAAAGCUGUUAGCUUUGUGGACUGACAAAUUAAUACUUGUACUCCUGGAGCACUGGACUAAUCAAAUCAAAUAUCAAUCACAGCCAGGCCAUCUAACUUCUCUUCUAACACUGCAGCAAUCACAAAGGUGAGCAACACAUCAAGCCUGUAUUUAAAAGAAACAAGCUUGGUGUUUUUCAUACAGGCACUGACAGAGUGAUGCAAAUUAUAAAUGUAAUUAUGACUUGAACUAUACACAGCCCAUCAGUUCCCAAGAAAUGGCUCUUAAUGUGAGACAACAGAGCUGAAAAAAAAAAAACCCUGCUUGAAAAUUUAAAAGGUUUGGAAGGAAACAAACUAGUACACAUUGUCUUUUGGGUUGUUUUACUUUUCUGUCAAGGAAAAUUCAAUACAGUUUAUAAAAAUAAUAUCUGUAACUAAGGGGACAGGGCAAAGGUCAUCUUGUACUUACAUCUGUAAAACUCAGAAAUUAAAUGGUAUCUUGCAGGUAAUGGAACCAAAAAUGGAGAAGUUAAUAGUGGAAAAGUUAAAAGGUCCCAGCAAAUUAAAACAAAAUCCAAAAAAAGGGUAAUUUGAAUCUGUGAUGAAAAUAACAGCUCAGUGUAUCAGUAUUCUUUUUCCUCUGCUUCUGCUCCUUCCACAAUAAUACCAUUAAAGUAACUGACUGGUGGAGUUGCUGGGGAAGAGGGUGGUGGUGUUGCAUGUGGGGAUUUUAUUGUUGUUGGGUUUCCAUUGUGGUUUUUCUAGUACAGCUAAAACCAGUUAUUUUGCAUAUUUUUCAACACAUACAGCAACAUUCUGCUGUCUAACUUCCCUGAUUUUAGAGUCCUGCUGACCACUUAAUACCAUCCUUUGCGGCAUCACUUUCCCACUUUUGGUUUUUUACCUUUGAUUGAGUUUUACAGAUCUAAGCAACAUGCUAGGACAAAGAGAAUACCAAAACACUCAGAUAUGGUUUACAUCAACUCAAGAAAGGCAGCUGAGAUUUUGCAGAACAGCAGCAUACUCAGACAAAUCAACAUCUCCAGCUGGCAGCUCUGAUGAUCCUUCUGUAAUAUAUACUCUCUCUCUCCCAGUAUUUAAGCCAUGCAUAUUUUUUAUUUUCCCCUCUGUCACUCUUCGGCUUUUUUUUUUUUUGCUGGUUGUAUUAUUGUUGCUGUGUUUUGGUUUUUGGCAUUUUUGAGAAAAACUGCUAGCUCUCACACUCUUCAAGAGGAAUGCAUCUUCAACAGUAGCACAGUGGCUAUACAGUGAAGCCUGAAGUACGUUUUAUAUUUUAAUUUUGUGAAGAUGCCUUUGAUUUAAUCCUGAUCACUUAUCUCUUCUGCUUUCUGCUUUACAUUUAUACACACAGCGCAGCAAUACUCUUUAGAUUUAUUGGUUCUUGUGAUCCAGAACUUCCACCUUCAAGUUUUUUAAAUAGUUUACUUUACUAAGUAGAAGAUAACUUUGCCUGGACAUUGCUCCUUUUAUGGCCAAGGAAUCAGUAGAACCCAUAUUUCCUGUUUUACAGUUUAGCCUUCUCAAAUUUCUAAUCCUUGUAUAUUUAAAAUAAAAGAUUGCUCAAUGUUUUAAAUUA